rnacentral:rRNA from 1 species
GCAAGUCUGGUGCCAGCAGCCGCGGUAAUUCCAGCUCCAAUAGCGUAUAUUAAAGUUGUUGUGGUUAAAAAGCUCGUAGUUGAACCUUGGGCCUGGCUGGCCGGUCCGCCUCACCGCGUGUACUGGUCCGGCCGGGCCUUUCCCUCUGUGGAACCCCAUGCCCUUCACUGGGUGUGGCGGGGAAACAGGACUUUUACUGUGAAAAAAUUAGAGUGCUCCAGGCAGGCCUAUGCUCGAAUACAUUAGCAUGGAAUAAUAGAAUAGGACGUGUGGUUCUAUUUUGUUGGUUUCUAGGACCGCCGUAAUGAUUAAUAGGGACAGUCGGGGGCAUCAGUAUUCAAUUGUCAGAGGUGAAAUUCUUGGAUUUAUUGAAGACUAACUACUGCGAAAGCAUUUGCCAA